GUGGGGCGGAGGCCACAGCACGCACCUGCACGUACCAGAAGCUGCCUCACUCGGAGGCUCUACUUCCCGAGGGCGCCUGCAGCACCUUUUAUGUGGCGAGGGGCGGGCCGAGAAGAGGCCUGCGGCCAAUGGCGGCGCCGCUCCGCGAGCCCCUGAGGAGGCGCGGCCAAUGGCGCGGCGGCGGAGGCGUGGCUAACGGCGGGGCGCGGCGGCGAAGAAAAACAAACACGUGGGAGAGCCGUCCCCUUCCCCCGCCCAGGUGGAGGGCCCGGGAUCUCCGGCCGCUGGGUUCCUGCGUGCCUAGCGGCUCGUCGCGCACCCCAGGACCCCAGGCCUCCGGAGGCCUCGGUGCUACCCCACCCCUCACCUACACACCAACAACCAGAAGCCUCUAGGGCCCCGACUGCCCUUCCUUAGCUCGAGGGAGCGGCCCGGGCAAAGUCCAGCCCGUUGGACCCUCCCCCCCUUCAGUUAUAAAGGGUUGGAAUUACAUCUCAAUUAAAGAGCCUGAGGGAUCUUAGAACCAGCCCCUCACCCCCAAACCACGCCCAAUAAUAAAGAGGCCAAUUUAUUGCUUUAAAGUCGGCCGAGCCCCUUAGAGCCGGUCUCGUCGCUCUAGAACCUCAAAACCAUUCUCUGAGACGGGGUCUGUCCACGUUUUACAGAGAGAACGCAAAACUCUGGGGGCUGGCGAAGAAAGUGGCUUGUCCCUGGUCACACAGCUAGGAAUAAAGGGUCGGAGGAAGAAUCUAGUCCAGUGCCCUCAAAUGGGGAAACUGAGCCCCGGGAGGAUUAAGGGACUGAUCCAAGGUCACACAGUAAGGUAAUGGAACCAGGAGCGCUAGAACCCAGAAGUCCAGCCUCCCGACCCCUGGGGCUUUUUCAGUUUAAUAUAUUUAUUGAGCGCCAAGGAGUCCGUGGCCCUGGGCCAAGAUUCACUACCUUUCUACCUAUCCCCGCCCCCCUCCAACCCUCAGGGCUGAACUUCUUUAGGACUGUUCACUAAUUGGGGGUGGCGGAAAGAGCUUGUGGCUCGAAACAAAAGAUGGUGCCCUGGGACAAGUUACUUUUCAUCUUCGGAGAUCACUUUCCGCACCUAUAGCUCUGACAUUCUGUGUUCUAAGUAAGGAUUAGGCAUCAGUACAGGUUGGAAACCGUUUUCCCAGGCGCUGUGCUGAGCUUUUUAGAGAUGGAACUAUUGGGCAGAGCUGGGAAUUUCCCCACAGCUUAGAGCAGGGAGGGAAAUUGUGGAGGAUACACUCACUCCUCAACCCCCCUCUUCCCAUCCCCCCCCAAGGAGCUAGUUAAUCAGUCAGUUUAACAAAGUGAAGGGGAAACAAGGCUGGGAUUUCCUCAAUUACAGAGUCCCUGAGCAGAAAGUGAAUAAAGAGGCCUUCUAGACCUUCUCCUACCAGAACCAGAAGGCUCUUCACGGCCUCCUGAGAGGGGGAAUUCCUUACAAGACUCCUCUUUACAGACUCCUCCUUACAGACCUCCUGGGAAGAGGAAUCCACCAGUGCCUUCGGGUAGAAAGAGCACAGAUACAUCUGGACCUUGGAGACCCAGAGGCUUUAGCCACUGCCAGAGGGCUCCAUGACACGAUAAAGGUGAAGAAGCUUCUCACUGGGGAUGAACCGGGAACCACUGAAAGGGUGUUGCUGAGAGGUACCCAGAUAAGUGAUAGAGCCAGUAGCCCAAGGCCAGCUCUCUGUUGGGGGGACAGACUGAAGCUGCUACACUCAGUAGUGACAGCAUAGAGCGAAGGACUCCACGCCAAGAAAUGGAUUCAAGACAUUUAGUGAGCACCUACUGUAUGCAGUACUUUCAGCUUAUUCUAAAUGAGGGCUUUGGGAGAGAGGAGGUAUUUGGACCUUCCUUUCCCUCAGUUUCAGUUUUUAAUUCCCACCCCCCCUUUUCUAGCCCUUUGACCACAAGUCUCACUCUUUCCCUCUAUCUUAAUCACAACAAGCAUUUAUUAACCCCCUACUAUUUGUAAGAAUGCUGGAGAUGAAGAUGGAUGUGUCACAAUCCCUGCACUUAAGGAGAUCAUUAUAUCCUGAUGGGAGAAUAUGACGAUGGACAAGUAUGAUACAAAGUAGGACGCCACGGGGGCAGAGGAGGGGCGAAGCAGAGUGCGCUAGGAAAGUCCGAGGAGGGGAGUGCGCGCUCACGGGGUGUAUGUGGAAAAAUCGAGGGAGGCUUUAUGGUGGAGCCUCGAAGAAGCUUUCAACGGUUGGGAGAUGGAGCGAGGCUCAGCUAGGGGCUCAAACUGUCCCCAGCAGAGAUACACAGGUUGGCCUUUCUGGGGCCAUAUCUCCAGAACCCCAUCUAAGUCCCAUUCUGAGCCCACGGUCCCUUCUGGGUGACACUCCUAGAGUUUUCAAGCAGUCUCCGGGUGCCCUCCUGUGGUCAACUAUGGAAUUGCCGCCUAGGAGGUGGGAGACCCAGUAGAACCCAGAAUGCCAGGGAUGCUGAAGGGGCCAGCCCAAUGCUCUUAUUUUGUAGGUGGGCAGGCUGAGACUUAUAGACAGUGAAGGACUUCAAUGAUUUCUCCUCCUUUUGUUGUACUCAAUUGAAAGCAAAAAGCUACCUGCCUUACCAAUUCAUCCAUUUUCCAAAGUGACCUCACCACCCUGGUCCAGCGAAGCACUCGGGCCCCAAAAGGAUGAAGAAGUCCUCCAGCACUCAGCACAGUGCCCGGUACACAGCAGGCACUUAAUAAAUGCUUGUUGCCUCCACUCAAAAAAGAAAACAAUACACAUCCUCUAGGCCAGUGGUUCUCUGGGUGUGGUCCAGGGACCCUGGGGGUUCUUGAGCCUGUUUCAGGCGGUCUGCAAGAUCAAAACUGUAUUCAUCAUAAUACUAAGACAUUUUAAUUUCUAAUACAGUAAAUAUCGAUAGCUAGAACCCAGAUAAACAGAAGCUCUUUAGGGUCCUGAGACCACAAAGUUGGAGACCUGCUGCUCUACACUAAGGAGGACGGGCCACCCAGAAGAGGGUGGUUCUCUGGGCCAUCCUGGAACCACUCGGCUUAAUCUGUGGUCGAGGCCUUGGUGUCUGUGCUCCCAGGAUUAACCCCCUCGGGACCAGAUGGACCGAACUGAAUACGCCCGACUCCCCUGCCACUUGAGGGUGGGCAGGGCCCAAGAGCCGACCACCACACUCUCGUGUUGUGGCUCCCAUGUUGCCAAAUCCAUUUUCCUCAACCAUAGUUUGGGCUGAUUGAGAACCUCUGAGCUAUUACCUCCCAAGCACAAUUCAAAACCCUUCUAAGGCCCUCAACAACAUUCCCCCAGAGUGGCUCCAGCCACUCUGUCCCCUCCUGCCCUCUGGUCUCUCUUUAAAAGCCCACAUCAACCACCUCCUCCAGGAAGCACUCCCUGACCACGGGAUGUCUACAGAGCCCAUCCUCUCUCUGCCUCUCAUCCCCGCACUCUUGGGUUGGUUAUCAUCUGGACUGCCAGGGCAGGGAUAAGCUUAGCUACUGCCCUCACCCCCCUUCUCCAAGGGUUCUCAGCCUUUUUUUGUGCCAUGGAUGCAUCAAGUGGC